GGUGGCUCUGUUUUAGCCUGCUCCAAAGCCGGGUCGGCCCCAGGCGUCGAGCCCUUUUCUGCUUGCUGCGCUGGCGGCCCAGCCCCAGAUUAGCAAGUGCCAAGCUUAGAGCCAGUCGGAGACGGCUGGAAGCUGCUAGUCUGAAUUUGGAGCUGGGCGAAGGAGAGCUUGGGACAGGCCGCGAUGCAGAGCCGCGCGUUUCCGCCAGACGAAGAACAGCCUCCUGGGCUCUUGACUGGCUAGCCCUGCACUCCCACCCACGCCUUGCUAACUGCGACUUUCCAUCCGUAGUUGAUUUCUUAAUCCCAAGGCUGGCGGGGGUGAGGCCAGAGCGAGCCAACGGGAAAUAACCCAGGCCACGGCUGCUUACUGGUUUUCGAAAAAGAAGAAAAUAACCUGGCGAUUCUUUUAAGCUGAAACGUCGCUACUUUCUAGAUAAUAGGAGGGAAAUUAUGGAUUCUUUUUUUGCCGUUUCAUUAUAAUUGCACAUGCAUUGAGGAAUUAAAAUUACUAACUAGUGCCAGAUUCAUAUUAAUAAAAUAGUGUGAAAGGGCAAU